ACGAUGAAUCUUCUAGCUUGCUAGAAGUGGAUUAGUGGCGCACGGGUGAGUAAUGCAUAGGUUAUGUGCCCUUUAGUCUGGGAUAGCCACUGGAAACGGUGAUUAAUACUGGAUACUCCCUACGGGGGAAAGUUUUUCGCUAAAGGAUCAGCCUAUGUCCUAUCAGCUUGUUGGUGAGGUAAUGGCUCACCAAGGCUAUGACGGGUAUCCGGCCUGAGAGGGUGAUCGGACACACUGGAACUGAGACACGGUCCAGACUCCUACGGGAGGCAGCAGUAGGGAAUAUUGCUCAAUGGGGGAAACCCUGAAGCAGCAACGCCGCGUGGAGGAUGAAGGUUUUAGGAUUGUAAACUCCUUUUGUUAGAGAAGAUUAUGACGGUAUCUAACGAAUAAGCACCGGCUAACUCCGUGCCAGCAGCCGCGGUAAUACGGAGGGUGCAAGCGUUACUCGGAAUCACUGGGCGUAAAGAGUGCGUAGGCGGGGUAAUAAGUCAGAUGUGAAAUCCUGUAGCUUAACUACAGAACUGCAUUUGAAACUGUUACUCUGGAGUGUGGGAGAGGUAGGUGGAAUUCUUGGUGUAGGGGUAAAAUCCGUAGAGAUCAAGAGGAAUACUCAUUGCGAAGGCGACCUGCUGGAACAUUACUGACGCUGAUGCACGAAAGCGUGGGGAGCAAACAGGAUUAGAUACCCUGGUAGUCCACGCCCUAAACGAUGGAUGCUAGUUGUUGCCUUGCUUGUCAGGGCAGUAAUGCAGCUAACGCAUUAAGCAUCCCGCCUGGGGAGUACGGUCGCAAGAUUAAAACUCAAAGGAAUAGACGGGGACCCGCACAAGCGGUGGAGCAUGUGGUUUAAUUCGAAGAUACGCGAAGAACCUUACCUAGGCUUGACAUUGAU
rnacentral:rRNA from 1 species